rnacentral:misc_RNA from 1 species
UGCAAAAUUAUUGGGUCACUAGCACAGUGGCAUUUGCCUAUUGAACUGAUCGGGCUUGAGAUUUAAGCUCAGACAUAGGCAACAAGUGAGAUGAAAUUACCUUAAGCACAGCUCAAACUCUUUCCCAUGUCUACGUCUAACCGCAGAAAGGAAUAAUAACCGUAGAAAAAAAAAUACAUGAAUUGUAUGUGUUAUCAUCACAUCGAUAUAAGAAAUAGCAACGCAGGCGCAAAGAGAUGAAGUAUUUUUUAUGGUAAAUUUUAUUACUUAACAGAUGAG